rnacentral:rRNA from 1 species
UGGCCAUUAUUUACUUGAUCUUGAUUGUCUAAAUGGAUAACUGUGGAAAAGCUAGAGCUAAUACAUGCACCAAAGCUUUGUCCUCACGGAAAAGCGCAUUUAUUAGAACAAAACCACGCGGCUUCGGCUGCUUCUUGUUGACUCAGAAUAACUUAGCUGACCGCAUGGCCUUGUGCCGGCGGCGUGUCUUUCAAGCGUCCACUUUAUCAACUUGACGGGAGCAUAAUCGACUCCCGUGGUGGUGACGGAUAACGGAGGAUCAGGGUUCGACUCCGGAGAAGGGGCCUGAGAAAUGGCCACUACGUCUAAGGAUGGCAGCAGGCGCGCAAAUUACCCACUCUCGGCUCCAGGAGGUAGUGACGAGAAAUAACGAGACUGUUCUCUUUGAGGCCGGUCAUCGGAAUGGGUACAAUUUAAACCCUUUAACGAGUAUCAAGCAGAGGGCAAGUCUGGUGCCAGCAGCCGCGGUAAUUCCAGCUCUGCAAAUACAUAGAAUUAUUGCUGCGGUUAGAAAGCUCAUAGUUGGAUUCGUAUCGGUACCCUGGAACCCUUCGGGUGUCUCUGGGUGUUAUCGAUUUAUCGUAAUGUUCGGUUUUGAGUCCUUAACAGGAUUCUUAACAGGCAUUGCAAGUUUACUUUGAACAAAUCAGAGUGCUUCAAACAGGCGUUUUCGCUUGAAUGAUCGUGCAUGGAAUAAUAGAAAACGAUUUCGGUUCAGUUUUAUUGGUUUUACGGACUGAGAUAAUGGUUAACAGAGACAAACGGGGGCAUUUGUAUGGCCCCGUGAGAGGUGAAAUUCUUGGACCGUGGCCAGACAAACUACAGCGAAAGCAUUUGCCAAGAAUGUCUUCAUUAAUCAAGAACGAAAGUCAGAGGUUCGAAGGCGAUCAGAUACCGCCCUAGUUCUGACCGUAAACGAUGCCAACUAGCGAUCCGCCGAUGGAAAUUAUAUUGCCUUGGUGGGGAGCUUCCCGGAAACGAAAGUCUUCCGGUUCCGGGGGAAGUAUGGUUGCAAAGCUGAAACUUAAAGGAAUUGACGGAAGGGCACCACCAGGAGUGGAGCCUGCGGCUUAAUUUGACUCAACACGGGGAAACUCACCCGGCCCGGACACUGUGAGGAUUGACAGAUUGAUAGCUUUUUCAUGAUUCAGUGGAUGGUGGUGCAUGGCCGUUCUUAGUUCGUGGAGUGAUUUGUCUGGUUUAUUCCGAUAACGAGCGAGACUCUAACCUACUAAAUAGUUGGUACAUACUCUUAGUGUAUACAGCUUCUUAGAGGGAUUUGCGGCGUUCAGCCGAAAGAAAUUGAGCAAUAACAGGUCUGUGAUGCCCUUAGAUGUCCGGGGCUGCACGCGCGCUACACUGGCAAAAUCAACGUGCUUGUCCUACCCUGAAAGGGGCGGGUAAACCAUUGAAAAUUUGCCGUGAUUGGGAUCGGAAAUUGCAAUUAUUUUCCGUGAACGAGGAAUUCCAAGUAAGUGCGAGUCAUCAGCUCGCGUUGAUUACGUCCCUGCCCUUUGUACACACCGCCCGUCGCUGCCCGGGACUGAGCCAUUUCGAGAAAUUUGGGGACCGUUGAUUUAAUUUUUCUAAAUUACUUUGAUGGAAACCAAUUUAAUCGCAGUGGCUUGAACCGGGCAAAAGUCGUAACAAGGUAGCAAUCGAAUUCCCGCGGCCGCCAUGGCGGCCGGGAGCAUGCGACGUCGGGCCCAAUUCGCCCUAUAGUGAGUCGUAUUACAAUUCACUGG